rnacentral:tRNA from 1 species
GACCGACUAGCUCAUCUGGUAGAGCACAGCCCUUUUAAGGCUGGCGUGCCGCGUUCGAGUCGCGGGUCGGUCACCA